CAGGGGCGGCGCCGUGAUUGGCCCGGAAUGUGGGCGGGGAGGCGGGAACAAGGCAGCCGGCUGGCGGUGUGCCAAGGCGAGCGCGGGAGGCGACUGUGGCGCGAGCGGAACCCUUCCCUGCGGUGCGGCCCCAGACCGUGGUGUAGACGAUGUUGUCUGCACGGGCCCAGCCGCUCCCUGUGCGGGCCCAGAGCCCGCGGAGUCCUCCGCCGGCAGUGGCGGGAGAGCCCCCGGUGCCAGCUGUGGUCAGGCAGCCUCCCCGACAGGUGUCUCUUCCUGCGCCUGGCACGCUGCCGCCCUCGGGCAGUCUGCUAGGGUAUCCCCACCAGGAGGGGCCUGGCAUUGUGAAAGUUACUUGUGUCCGUGGAGAAAACGCAGAACAGUGUGAAGAGGAAAACAGAAACCUGCGUCAUCUCUCACAGGGCCUCGCUUUAGAAGUUUUGGGGGUGCUGCACGGAGCCACCACUGAGAUCCUCUCCCACGCCCCCCUUCAGUUCCCUUAUGCUUGCUCACCCGAGCUGUUAACACCUCAUGCCACAAACACCUACUGACGUCCUGCUGGGUACCAGGCGGGCUGAGGAGUAUAGGGCCUGAUGCAGUGCAUCUGAAAGGACACACUCUCUAGCUGAUGGCACAGAGAAUUCGUCGUGGGCUGGGAUGUGUGGAGCCGACUUGAGAUUCAGGACAGUGGCGCGGAGCCUCAGUGGCACGGAGCCACAGCCGGGGGGUCCUCCGGGAAUGCAUCCAGUGCCCUGAGCCAGGCUGGCUGUGCCCUUGAGGGGACCUGUCUGUCUUUGCACCUUUGUAAUAUCUGUAGCACCUGGUGGAGGCUACUUGCUGACCUCACAGGGGCUUUUAUCAAAAUUAUCUAAGCUGGUGGUAUUUUUUUUUUCUAACUUCCAGAUGACUAUUAGAACAACUGUGAGAUUCACACCCCCUUCCCCCAAAAAAGAAAAAACUCAAAGCGAUGUUCCUAAGAAACGUAUUAAGUCUCUAUAUUUGGGAGAAAGUUAACAAUCUUUAUGCUAUUUAUUCUUACUAUACAUCUCCAUAGUGUUUCAUGCUGUAUAUCUCAUAGCAGAAUGCACAGAUUUCCUCUAAUACAGGUUCCUAGGUAUUAAAAGCUCCUUCUGGAAACU
rnacentral:lncRNA from 1 species